ACCACCCCUCCUCUAGGGGUCUCCAGGGUUGCGAAAAAAAAGCGGCGCCAGCAGGCUACGGGGAGGAGGGCAGCGCCCUGCCGACGAUUUAUCUGGCUACUUCCUCCCCGUCGAUCCCUGCCUGGACCAUACCGUCUCCAUCUUGAAGAAGGCUCGAUCUUUUCCGGCGUCAGAUUGAUGAGUUCGUGAUGUACGAAAAGAGAAUGCCUUAGAAAGACCGGUCAUACGAAAGAGCACUUAUUACUAUUGAAAUAUUAUGGUGACGAUGUUUAGCAGUCAUAAAAGAGAAGGUUCCAUGUUGCCAUGUUCUUUCUGAAGUUAAAUUGGCAUUACAAAAUUUGUGAUCAAUAGCUUUCAGAAGAAAAAGGUUGCUCAAGCUACUCUUCAUCAAGUUUGCACAUAUCACGGUAUAGUCAUCAACGACCACAAUCAUGAUGCGCUCAAGACAAUGUUCAGGAGUUACUCAACAACACAAUAGUGGAGCGGAACCGAUCACUACUUAGUGAUUUGGAAAGCAGAGUACUAUUACUUUACAGAGGGAGUACAUUGUGGUACUUUGAUUUUCUUUGCAAUAUUUAUUACAUAGAGAUAAUCUAGAGCACUCUGGAGGGGAACAAAUCGGUAUGGAAUACUGAUGCAUAUGCAUUUUCUGGUGCAACUUGCUUCUAGGAUGCGGCAACCAUUUGAGAAAAUUUUAUACUUCCUCUGUCCUUAAUUAUUUGUUAGAUAAAUGGAUGUGAUACGAUUUAUCUCCCAUUUCAAGAUAAUUUACCAAACCGUCGAGAGCCAGGACGUGCAUCCAGUAGCAACUUCAACAUUGUCUACGCAUCAAACAAACCACCUGAAUAAGAGCAAAAGAACCAGCUUCAUAUAUCUACCACUACAUUGUAGAGACACACCCAGCUGGAGGAUCAACAUCUCAGGUCUAGGAAGAGAACAAGAGCUUCACAAUUCUGCAUUCAAUAUCCACUAUCACUACGUGUUGUAGAUCACCUAUGCAUGUACCAACUAGAUGUACC